UUUCCGUAGGUGAACCUGCGGAAGGAUCAUUAAAGAGAUCAGGGGUCGACCCGAAAGGGUAGGCCCCGACCUCCCACCCCUUUGUCGUCGCGAAUUUGUUGCCUCGGCGGGACCGUCCCGAGUCGUGCCUCCAACGACGGAGGUCGACCGGGCCUGGAUCGACCAGGGCCGGGCAGCGCCCGCCGGGGACCCAAGACCAAAACCCUCUCGAAUCAAACCAUGAAGUCUGAGCAAGCGUGAACCGGGACCGAAGCCCCUCAACACGGGCGGAGGCGACGGGGAGCGGAACAAUGAAACAAAACUUUCAACAACGGAUCUCUUGGCUCUGGCAUCGAUGAAGAACGCAGC
rnacentral:misc_RNA from 1 species